rnacentral:rRNA from 1 species
UUAGUGGCGAACGGGUGAGUAACACGUGGGUGAUCUGCCCUGCACUUCGGGAUAAGCCUGGGAAACUGGGUCUAAUACCGGAUAGGACCUCGGGAUGCAUGUUCCGGGGUGGAAAGGUUUUCCGGUGCAGGAUGGGCCCGCGGCCUAUCAGCUUGUUGGUGGGGUAACGGCCCACCAAGGCGACGACGGGUAGCCGGCCUGAGAGGGCGACCGGCCACACUGGGACUGAGACACGGCCCAGACUCCUACGGGAGG